rnacentral:tRNA from 2 species
GGAUGCGCCCGGAGAAGCCCUGAAACAUCGACGAAGGACGCGGGUUCGAUUCCCGCCACCUCCACCA